AACGAACGCUGGCGGCGCGCCUAAUACAUGCAAGUCGAGCGAGAAGGUGUAGCAAUACACUUGUAAAGCGGCGAACGGGUGAGGAAUGCAUGGGUAACCUACCCUCGAGUGGGGAAUAACUAGCCGAAAGGUUAGCUAAUACCGCAUACGUUUCCGGAACUUCGGUUUCGGAAAGAAAGCAAUACCGUGGGUAUUGCGCUCCUGGAUGGGCUCAUGUCCUAUCAGCUUGUUGGUGAGGUAACGGCUCACCAAGGCUUCGACGGGUAGCUGGUCUGAGAGGACGAUCAGCCACACUGGCACUGCGACACGGGCCAGACUCCUACGGGAGGCAGCAGUAAGGAAUAUUGCGCAAUGGACGAAAGUCUGACGCAGCGACGCCGCGUGGGGGAUGAAGCGUCUCUGACAUGUAAACCACUGUCAGGGUUGGAACAAUGAUGACCCCAAAGGAAGUGGCGACUAACUCUGUGCCAGCAGCCGCGGUAAU
rnacentral:rRNA from 1 species